rnacentral:rRNA from 1 species
UUGGGAAACUGGGUCUAAUACCGGAUAGGAGCCAUCUUUAGUGUGGUGGUUGGAAAGUUUUUUCGGUGUAGGAUGAGCUCGCGGCCUAUCAGCUUGUUGGUGGGGUAAUGGCCUACCAAGGCGGCGACGGGUAGCCGGCCUGAGAGGGUGUACGGCCACAUUGGGACUGAGAUACGGCCCAG